AGGACGAACGCUGGCGGCGUGCCUAACACAUGCAAGUCGAACGGGAAAGUCGGAGCAAUCCAUGAGUAUAGUGGCGACCGGGUGAGUAACACGUGACUAACCUACCCUUGAGUGGGGGAUAACCUCGGGAAACCGGGGCUAAUACCGCAUAACAUCUUCGGGAUGAGAAGCUGAAGAUCAAAGGAGCAAUUCGCUUUUCGGAGGGGUCGCGGCUGAUUAGCUAGUUGGCGGGUAACGGCCCACCAAGGCUUUGAUCGGUA
rnacentral:rRNA from 1 species